GACGAACGCUGGCGGCGUGCUUAACACAUGCAAGUCGAACGGAAAGGCCCUGCUUUUGUGGGGUGCUCGAUUGGCGAACGGGUGAGUAACACGUGAGUAACCUGCCCUUGAUUUUGGGAUAACUUCAGGAAACUGGGGCUAAUACCGGAUAGGAGCUCCUGCUGCAUGGUGGGGGUUGGAAAGUUUCGGCGGUUGGGGAUGGACUCGCGGCUUAUCAGCUUGUUGGUGGGGUAGUGGCUUACCAAGGCUUUGACGGGUAGCCGGCCUGAGAGGGUGACCGGCCACAUUGGGACUGAGAUACGGCGCAGACGCGUACGGGAGGCAGCAGUGGGGAAUAUUGCACAAUGGGCGGGAGCCUGAUGCAGAAACGCCGCGUGCGGGAUGACGGCCUUCGGGUUGUAAACCGCUUUCGCCUGUGACGAAGCGUGAGUGACGGUAAUGGGUAAAGAAGCACCGGCUAACUACGUG
rnacentral:rRNA from 1 species